AAACAGAAUUGGAUAUAUAUUAACAUACAAAAAAAUAAUAAGAAAAAUUAUAUCAUGAGGCACUAGAACAUACAAAAAAAACAAAAAAAUAAAAUACAUAUUUUGCGAGGCACUGGAAUCGUUGUGAGGGUCAUAGAGGAUUGAAAAACAUGAUUUAUAACCACUUAGAGCACACUUGGAGGAUGUAUAAUAAUUAUUGAAUAAUUUAAUAUUUUUUUAAUAAAUUUUUUUGAUAUAUGCAGACUGAGGAGCUGCAUUAUUCAAAUUUGAAAAAGCAACGUGCAUCGUUCAAAUUGAAAAAAUAACGGCAACAUGCACGGUUUGGAUUGAUAAGGCAUCACGUGCUCUUUUGGUUUGAAUCCUGUAUUGGUUUGAAAGGAUUGGAGGAUGACGUGUCGAUGACGUCAUCAGCUUACUCUGAUAUACCGGACGAAACGGAGCUGGAAUCAGAAGGAUUGUUUGACUGCUUGCAGUAACAUCUCGGAUAGUGAUUAAGUAGCACGAAUAUUGUGAUUCUCAAAGUACACAGUUAAAAUAAAUAGUUCAAGCCUGCCUGAAGAAGAUACAUCAUAGUAUCGAAACGUCGCGAUAUUGGCUUGAACACAAAGAAUAUAUAUAUAUAAAAUAUUUUUUUUGAAUUUUUAUUUUAUUUUAUUUCAUUUCAUUUCAUUUCAUUUCAUUUCAUUUCAUUUCAUUUCAUUUGAUGGUCAUAUAUAAUCACAGAUUCAAUAUUGGUUCAUUUCAGAUUGUUCUCUUUUAUAAAAAAACACAAUAAAACCCCAAAAAAAGUUAAAAAAAUACAAAAAGCCAAAAAAAUAUAAAAAAUCGAAAGAAAGACAAAAAAAACAAUAUACAAUUGUGGAUUUGAUCGUUCAUAAAAUUAAGGAUGGUAUUCGUCUUUCAAGACAAGAGUCGUUUCACGACCCCUCGGAUGCGCUUGAGCCCCCAUAAAAAAAAUAAAAAGGGAUUUCCCCCGACGGGGACGAUUUAGGAGGGACGAUUAUUUUGUUGAGCGAUCUCGUGACUUCCCGUACGAAGUCAACGGACACGAAGAAUCAUCCAUAGGUUACAGUAACAGAGUACACAAUGAAACUCGAUCGGAGAUUAAUGCAAAUCCCUUCUCUCGUCCGUCACGUGAUCAACGCCCUUUAAAUCAGGGGAGAUUUAAACAGACACGAAAGAGAGUAACUUUUUGGGGUUAAUAGGAUUAUUUACCCCACAGAAGAGAAUGGAUUUAUGGAGCAGAGAAACAGUAACACACGAUAUUUU
ensembl:lncRNA